AAUCAACGCUGGCGGCGUGCCUAACACAUGCAAGUCGCACGAGAAAGGGGAGCAAUCCCUGAGUACAGUGGCGCACGGGUGAGUAACACGUGAAUAAUCUACCUCCGAGUGGGGAAUAACUGAGAGAAAUCUUAGCUAAUACCGCAUAACACUUACGAGUCAAAGCAGCAAUGCGCUUGGAGAGGAGUUCGCGGCAGAUUAGUUAGUUGGCGGGGUAANGGCCCACCAAGACGAUGAUCUGUAUCCGGCCUGAGAGGGCGCACGGACACACUGGAACUGAAACACGGUCCAGACUCCUACGGGAGGCAGCAGUGGGGAAUUUUGCGCAAUGGGGGAAACCCUGACGCAGCAACGCCGCGUGGAGGAUGAAAUAUCUUGGUAUGUAAACUCCUUUCGAUGGGGAAGAUUAUGACGGUACCCAUAGAAGAAGCCCCGGCUAACUUCGUGCCAGCAGCCGCAGUAAG
rnacentral:rRNA from 1 species